rnacentral:misc_RNA from 1 species
GGAAGUAAAAUCGUAACAAGGUCUCCGUAGGUGAACCUGCGGAGGGAUCAUUACCGAGCGUUGAGGGCCCCUUCGGGGCGCCCCCGCCUCACAUCCCUUGCCCGAGAACCUCUCCUGCCUCGGCGGGUCGCCCGCGAGGGCGCCCGCCGGAAGAGGCCAACCGAACCCUGAAGUGAACCUGCCGUCAGAGGGGUCACGACCCAACCAUAGAACAACUCGUAACAACGGAUCUCUUGGCUCCG